AACGAACGCUGGCGGCAGGCUUAACACAUGCAAGCCGAGCGCCUCGCAAGAGGAGCGGCAGACGGGUGAGUAACGCGUGGGAACGUACCCUUAUCUUCGGAAUAGCUCUGGGAAACUGGAAGUAAUACCGAAUGUGCCCUUAGGGGGAAAGAUUUAUCGGAUAAGGAUCGGCCCGCGUUGGAUUAGCUAGUUGGUGGGGUAAAGGCCUACCAAGGCGACGAUCCAUAGCUGGUCUGAGAGGAUGAUCAGCCACAUUGGGACUGAGACACGGCCCAAACUCCUACGGGAGGCAGCAGUGGGGAAUAUUGGACAAUGGGCGCAAGCCUGAUCCAGCCAUGCCGCGUGAGUGAUGAAGGCCUUAGGGUUGUAAAGCUCUUUCACCGGAGAAGAUAAUGACGGUAUCCGGAGAAGAAGCCCCGGCUAACUUCGUG
rnacentral:rRNA from 1 species